rnacentral:rRNA from 1 species
AGUCACUGACAUUAGAUACCCCUGUAGUCCCAGCCGUAAACAAUGUGCGUUAGGUGUGUCGGUAACCACGCGUUACUGAUGCGCCGAAGAGAAAUCGUGAAACGCACCACCUGGGAAGUACGGUCGCAAGGCUGAAACUUAAAGGAAUUGGCGGGGGAGCACCACAACAGGUGGAGCCUGCGGUCUAAUUGGAUUCAACGCCGGACAUCUCACCGGAUAAGACAGCUGAAUGAUUGUCAAUCUGAAGGUUUUACAUGACUAGCUG